rnacentral:piRNA from 1 species
UAUUCUGGAAGAAGACCUGCAUAGUGA